rnacentral:rRNA from 1 species
UAGGGGAAUCUUCCACAAUGGGCGCAAGCCUGAUGGAGCAACACCGCGUGAGUGAAGAAGGGUUUCGGCUCGUAAAGCUCUGUUGUUAAAGAAGAACACGUAUGAGAGUAACUGUUCAUACGUUGACGGUAUUUAACCAGAAAGUCACGGCUAACUACGUGCCAG